AGCAGCCGCGGUAAUUCCAGCUCCAAUAGCGUAUAUUAAAGUUGUUGCAGUUAAAAAGCUCGUAGUUGAAUUUCGAGAUCGGUUUAUUGGUCGUGCUAUUGUACGUACUGGUAUUACCGGUUUCUCCUUUCUGACGAACCAUAAUGCCAUUAAUUUGGUGUUUUGGGAAAUCAGGACUGUUACUUUGAAAAAAUUAGAGUGUUUAAAGCAGGCUCACGCUUGAAUACAUUAGCAUGGAAUAACGGAAUAGGACGUUUGAUUCUAUUUUGUUGGUUUCUAGGAUCGACGUAAUGAUUAAUAGGGAUAGUUGGGGGCAUUAGUAUUCAAUUGUCAGAGGUGAAAUUCUUGGAUUUAUUGAAGACUAACUACUGCGAAAGCAUUUGCCAAGGAUGUUUUCAUUAAUCAAGAACGAAAGUUAGGGGAUCGAAGACGAUCAGAUACCGUCGUAGUCUUAACCAUAAACUAUGCCGACUAGGGAUCGGAUGAUGUUAAUUUUUUAAUGACUCAUUCGGCGCCUUACG
rnacentral:rRNA from 1 species